UUUAUAUGUAACGUAAAAAUAAAGAAUAAAAAGAAUGGAUGCGGCGUUCACCUGUGAGGCAAGCAAUUGGAUGGAAAUCGACGAUCUCACGGCAUCUAGUCCAAGUUAAUGCGGCGAUCUUUAGUAAUGCCUUGGCGAGAAGCAUUGGCCAUAAUUCAAAGUUAUUAGACGUACGUGGCAGAAGGGGCCUGUUAUCUUUAUCCACGGGUAUAUUGUCGUCCACCAGAAUGCGACGCCAAUAUCCCAUCCAAUAUAAUCUUACAACAUAUUUUCCUGGAAGAAACACACGUUAAUGGCAUUGCUGUUGAUGCUGGGCAUCUUUCCCAGCCUUGUUCAAGGAAUACACGUGCAUCCAACCGUACCAGAGACUGUAGCGACCGGUCCAGAUGAAAUUUGAGUUCUCUCCGCUAAUUUCCAAACCCUGCCGGCCGUAGUAUUGCAGGUUUUCCAACGUGGAAAUAAACCACCUCAUAAACUACAAAUUGCCAUUAAUAUCAUUCGCAGGAAUGUGCAAACCGUUAUUGCAUUUUACGUUCAAUUAAAUUAAAAAAAAAAAA